CAUAUUUCCGAGUCUGUGGUUGUUUGGAGAAGUGAUGGAAGUUGCUUUCAUUUCAAUUUUUGAGGAUUAAUAAUUUCUCGGAGGUGUAUAAACAUUUCAAAGGACUGUUGAGUGGAUAUAUUUAUACAUAUAAAAAUGUCUGUUGCUGAAUUUCUAAAAGGUUUGCCUUCACAUAAUGAAAAUAACUUUGCCAAUUUUCACACGGACAGUGGAAACAGAACUUGUGUAAAGAAGCCUUCAGUAUAUAUUCCCACAAAAGAUCAUCCUUCAGAACAAAUUAUAGUUACAGAAAAAACCACCAUAUUGUUAAGGUACCUCCACCAACACUGGGAUAUAAAUAAUCCUGUCAGAAAAAGAGAUUUUUUAUCUGCUAAUGGUGACUCUGAAGAUGAUGGUGGCACAGUUCGUAGUAAAAGGCUACGUCUUGAGUUGAACAAUACCAUUUAAAAUAUAUUGCACACUUUUAAUUUUCAUUACUUGUUAAACUACGUUUAUAUGUCAUGAAAAUAGGUCAUGCAAACAUCAACAUGGGACAAAUUUCAUUGAAAGAAGAUUCGUUGUUAGAAUAUUAAAUGACACUACGCUACAGUACACAAUUUGUAUAAGUAGCGACAUUCAUUGCUCUCUUUCGUGAUCUUUCUGUAUGACUGUUGUCGAGGGACAGGAAUGCAACUGGUGGUGCAUACAUUCAUUAAAACAGAGGAAGUAAAUAUUAAUGUCAUUUUAGUUAAGAUACAAUAUGUCAGCAUUUAUUCUGAGCAUGGUGGAUAUCGAAGAUAUUGGAAGUUCAGUAACGCCAGAUCCAAAGUGUAAAACUGUAUAAAUUUCCUGUUCGACUAGGUAUAUUUUUAUUUUUUCGACUAUGUAUUCCCGUGUUAUCAUUUUUUAAAUUUAAAUCCAUUAA